rnacentral:ncRNA from 1 species
UGAUAGAGGUGCGGAUUUCAAGAGUAACGAAUAAGCGAUAGCGUGGGAAACUGCUUAUUCGGGAAAGGGGAAUCUGCCGAAGGAAUGACAUCUCCUAAGAGUUAUUCCUGGGACGUAGUCAGAAUAUGCUGCGGACUGUCACAUCAGUGGAGCGCUAUCGGA